UAGAUAUAUAACUGUUGUACACGACGAUAAAGUAAUUAAUGUCGCGUAAAAAAUUUUCUUCCGGGUAAUGUAAAAAAAUUACUAUAUGACCUAUUAAAACUCUUCCAUUGGUAGUUUGCGGAUAUGCUGGAUUCCUUUAGUAUUCUCCUAGAUAAGAAUGAGAUUACUGUUGGCUAAUUCCUAAGGGUUCUGACUGUGAAAUAUGAUCAAUAUUAUUCAAGAUCCUCCCAUCAGGGUAAGGCAAAAGUCCCAUAGUUGAAAGGUGUAAUUCAAAAGUAGCAUUAUCUGUUGCACUCGAAUUGUAACACCUUCUUUAGGCAACGAUCUUUUCACAUAUAUAUAUGGUGCAAUAAUUACAUCAAUAUCAAAAUGAAAGACAUCUAAAUUGUAAAUAGAAAGGACACAAAGAUGCAAGCGAAACAUAAUAAGUAGGUCAAUUAAACAGCACUUUGCUGUUGAAUGGUUUGAGCGUAAGUUUGUUUAAUAAUAAUUUACCUUGUGCCAAGCUGAAAUGUUGGGCUAG